rnacentral:lncRNA from 1 species
UUCUGACUGAGCCAAGGUCACAAAAGUCACUGCAAAGUCCAGAAGAAGAGCUCCAUGGUUGUGACUGUCAUUUCACUUGCUGGGAAGAACGUGCACUGAGAAGAGCACGCGGACAAGGCAAGCGGUUACAGAAAACAGAGCAAUAUGGACAGGACCACCAGACUCCUUUCUACAUGUGAUCUACAGUGCAUCUGAACACCUGUCUGCAGAAGGUGGCAGGAAAAUUGCAUCUGUAUGCUAAGUUAGAAGCUUAAAAUGAAUCUUUCAGCACCGCAAUACUUCGCUGAAGUGGCAGCUCUUCAUUAACUAUUGG